rnacentral:lncRNA from 1 species
ACCAACGGAUUCCCUCCAGUCUUCCACAGGAGAGACUCUCAAAGCAAGAAUUUCAGGACCAUCAGAAAGAGAAUCACCUGGGGAGCACUGCAGGUGCCCAUACUCCACUUUAAAUGAAAUCACUGAGUAGAGGCCAGGGAUGUACACAACCUCCUAGGUGAUUUGAAAAACACCAAAGUCUGAAAUCCGUACUUCAAAGACAAGUCUUCCAUCUACCGGGAAACAGGAAAACACAAGUCAGGCGUGGAAAUACGACGCGGGUAGAGGGCAAUUCCAUAUGGUGAAGAGACAUAGAGGCCUCGGCCAAGAACCAGAAUGUCAACAAAGAAGCGGUUAGAUGCAGAAACUGAGGGUGGAAGAAGGAAACAGGGAAGGAAGAUGAAACAGAGAAUCAAAAACGAGUCUCGGAAUCCCCACCGCCUCAUCUCCUGGCACUUAAGAAAAGUUACUGGAGACGACCUGAACAGAAAAGCUUUAUCGGAGAGCUUUGACGAUCCCUCUUCCACUCCUCAGAGGAGCAGAACCUUGCAAGGGUAG